GGGGGUGGGAUUUGGCGAUGGUGCUUCGACUAUUUGGUGGGUAGCUGGGAGAGUGGGUGUUGUCCCUCGUGAUUCCCAUCUUCAGUAGUUUGGAUGUUAGGGUUUGGGGUUGCUUUUAUACUCCAAGAGUUGUGGCGGCUGAUCUCUAUCAGAUGUAUUGGAGUGAGGCUAGUUGACACAGGGAUCUUGGGUAGAUUUGGAGGAUAGGAAUGCACCCAAGGGUGAGCUUAUUUCUUUAAAAGAUGGCUUGGCAUCGACUUCUUACCAGAUUCCGCCUUUGAGGCUGAGGCAUGGAUAUCCUGUUGGUGUGCCCUUGCUGUCAGGUUGAGAAGGAGACCAUGGAGCACACCCUUUUUAAGUAUCCAAG
rnacentral:lncRNA from 1 species